rnacentral:rRNA from 1 species
AAAAAGUCGUAACAAGGUUUUCUGUAGGUGAACCUGCAGAAGGAUCAUUAGUGAAAGCAAGGGCCAGCCAUACGGACGGCGCUGCUCGCGUACAACGUCUCUGGCGCCCAACUUUACACAAUAUCCACAAACCCGUGUGCACCGUUUGGAUGAGUUGGGCAAGAGGCUCGGCUCUCCAAUCCAUUUCUACCAAACUCGUAUGGUUGUAUGAACGUGGAAAUCGUUGGACCGUAACUGGCCAACAACCAAUAAUACAACUUUCGACAACGGAUCUCUUGGUUCUCCCAUCGAUGAAGAACGCAGCGAAACGCGAUAGGUAAUGUGAAUUGCAGAAUUCCGUGAAUCAUCGAAUCUUUGAACGCACCUUGCGCUCCAUGGUAUUCCGUGGAGCAUGCCUGUUUGAGUGCCGUGAAUUCUCUCUCCCCAAGCGGUUGCGAUUGCACUGCUUUGGCGGACGAGGUUGGAUGGGUGCUUCUGCCUGUUUCGCAAGAAACAGGCUCGCCCGAAAUGCAUUAGCGCCUUUGGGACACACUCUGCAAACCGCUCUGAAAGGGAGGGCGGCAGAGGGGAUGGAGGAACUCCGCCCGUCAGCUAUACCAAACUUUGCCCCAGGCAAGCGCAUGGCAUGAUACGUCAUUUGCUGUGUGUGCGUCCUGAGGCAAGGGGCCGAUGUGGUGCCUUUGUCACUCUGUGGGUGUGUUGGUGCGCUACCAAUCCUGCGUGGAGGCUGGUCUGUGCGCAAGCAUGGAGCAGUUCUUGUGAACGCAUUCCCUUUUUCAUUUCUGGUCUCAAAUCAGGUAGGAUCACCC